rnacentral:rRNA from 1 species
AUUGAACGCUGGCGGCAGGCUUAACACAUGCAAGUCGAGCGGAGCGAGGGUGCUUGCACCUUAGCUUAGCGGCGGACGGGUGAGUAAUGCCUAGGAAUCUGCCUAUUAGUGGGGGACAACAUUCCGAAAGGAAUGCUAAUACCGCAUACGCCCUACGGGGGAAAGCAGGGGAUCUUCGGACCUUGCGCUAAUAGAUGAGCCUAAGUCGGAUUAGCUAGUUGGUGGGGUAAAGGCCUACCAAGGCGACGAUCUGUAGCGGGUCUGAGAGGAUGAUCCGCCACACUGGGACUGGGAAACGGCCCAGACUCCUACGGGAGGCAGCAGUGGGGAAUAUUGGACAAUGGGCGGAAGCCUGAUCCAGCCAUGCCGCGUGUGUGAAGAAGGCCUUUUGGUUGUAAAGCACUUUAAGCGAGGAGGAGGCUACUUAGAUUAAUACUCUGGGAUAGUGGACGUUACUCGCAGAAUAAGCACCGGCUAACUCUGUGCCAGCCGCCGCGGUAA